GCAGGCCCUAGAGGGGUUGACCCCCAUGGCAGAGGACUGUUGGGCUGACACUGAUCUAAAGUUGCUAGUGGCCUCUUAAAUGCCAAUCCAGCGACCUUCCUCAGCUCUCCCACCACUGGGACUCUUAGGCAGACCACAGCUAGACUCUGUCAUUCCUCUUCAGUCUCUCUCCUCUCUAUGCAAAGUGUUUCCAAUUUUCCUUCAGCUUUCCUGGUCAUUUCCUUCGCGAAGAGCACCGUCAUGACACGGAUACCUGUGGUCCUCAGGGAGCACAGGCAUAUGAAUGGAUCUACACAAAAUGAGAUCACCGCCAGAGGCUGUGGUGGAGGAGGAUACUGGGGAGACUAUGCCAAACUGAGGAACCUGUACUUUAUCCGAUUGCACCAGGCGGAUCUUGGCAUUGAUGGGUGUUCCUAGAUCUGGUCCCACAUUCCCAACAGCCUUCUAGAAGCUGCUACCAAAUGGAACUCAUCUGCUCUUCUUGGAGAAACACCAUCCUCCUGUGCUUCCACAACCCGCUCAAGUCUGGACUAAUUCUCACCGUUUCUCUUCUCACAGCCCCUCCCAUUAGUUCACGCCCCCCUCUCCUAGGCUGCCAGUGCCCAGUGAGCCUGGUUUCACCAGGCACCCCGGCUUCACCAGACACCCCGGCUUCACCAGACACCCCGGCUUCACCAGACACCCCGGCUUCACCAGACACCCCGGCUUCACCAGACACCCCGGCUUCACCAGACACCCCAGCUUCACCAGGCACCCCGGCUUCACCAGGCACCCCGGCUUCACAGGCACCCUGGCUUCACCAGACAUCCUGGCUUCACCAGUCAGCCCCACAUCACCAGACACCCCGGCUUCACCAGGCACCCCGGCUUCACCAGACACCCCGGCUCCAGUCUUUUUCUUGAAUGCAUGUAGCCUGAUGAUAAAACUGUCUUCCUGCAGCCACACCAUUGCUCAGAGUCGCUGAGUCAUUGCUACCUACAAGUAACCCUUAAUCACCUUGACCAGACAGUAGACUCGAGUUGUCAUCUGCCCCAAACCAACCUUCCAGUCUCGUCCCCCACUCUUGUCCCACCGCAUCCUGAGUGGUGGCCUCACCCUUUAGUCCCUGCUCACCCUGCCUUCUGUCUUCUCCAUCCUUUCAGACCCAGCUAAGGUGCUUUCAGGAAGCCCUGCCUGACACCCCCACCUGGUAUUCAGGUAUUCCCUUCGCUCUACCACCCCACACAGGAUUAAGAUUCUUUGUUCCAUUUUUUAAAAAUACUUUAUCCUCCCCUCUCUGGAAACAGCUGAACAAGAAUGGAACACGGGAAAUGUAUGUCUCAACUCUAUUGCUCCCAACCAGAUGAUGAUAUAGAGUUUAUCUAAGCCUCAGUUUCCUCAUCUGUGGAAUAGGAUAAUGAUGCCUGCAUCACCGGUAGAAAUUAGCAGAGCACACAGGCGUUUCCAGCAAGUGAAGCACUGUAGUGUCAGAUACGGAGGAAGGGCUUCACAGGCACAGCGACUGGUGAAGAAGGAUGUUUCUGAGAAUCUCUAAAGUGUGAC